rnacentral:lncRNA from 10 species
UCCGUGUAACAAGUGUACCACUCUAGUGGUGGGAGGGGUUAUUGAUAAUAGGGGAGGAUGUGCAUGUGUGGGGGCAGGAAGUAUAUGGGAAAUCUCUCUACUUCUGCUCAAUUUUGCUGUAAACCUAAAACCUCUGUAAAAAAUAAAGUCUAUUUUUUAAAAAGUGGGGAUGGUAUUACGGCAAUAUAAAAUCAAAAUACUUUAUGAACAAAUCUUUUCUCCAGAUGUAAACUGUCAUAUAUGCACCCUCGUAUGUGUAUGUAUAAUUUUCAUUCAAACGUGAAACAACUUUAGAAUUGGCACCAAACAUAUAAACACUGAUACAUUAGACUAUCUCGAACACCUUUUACUGACCACUUUGAAAACUUGCUUACCUAUUAAGGUUCAUUCAUAGCUGUGAUGUUCUAUUUUUAUUUUCAAUGUGGGAUUAUCUUCUGUUUCCCCCAGGGAGUAUAUUACCAAAUUGGUGAUGUUGUUUCUGUGAUUGAUGAACAAGAUGGAAAGCCCUACUAUGCUCAAAUCAGAGGUUUUAUCCAGGACCAGUAUUGCGAGAAGAGUGCAGCACUGACGUGGCUCAUUCCUACCCUCUCUAGCCCCAGAGACCAAUUUGAUCCCGCCUCCUAUAUCAUAGGGCCAGAGGAAGAUCUUCCAAGGAAGAUGGAAUACUUGGAAUUUGUUUGUCAUGCACCUUCUGAGUAUUUCAAGUCACGGUCAUCACCAUUUCCCACAGUUCCCACCAGACCAGAGAAGGGCUACAUAUGGACUCAUGUUGGGCCUACUCCUGCAAUAACAAUUAA